ACAUGCAACAAGCACUGGAAAUGUGAAAAAAUCAAAUUUAUAGUCGAUAUAUCGUUGAUCUCCUUGAAUUGAUACAUUGUUCAUAAUGUCCAUAAAU
ensembl:ncRNA F53B2.13 ncRNA